GAAAAAUGAAGCAAAACCAGACGAAACUAAAGCAGAAAGGCAGACUUCCUGCAACCCACAGGAGGAAGAGUCCACGGAGGAUGACGACAGAGAUCUGAAACUGGAGGACCCGGGGAAUUCCCGUAUUAAACCUCUGCCAAAAGAUUGCACCCAUCUCAUCAUGAUCAGUUACUGCUUGAGCCAGCAGAAGAAAGUCAGCAAGAUCAAAAAACAUCUCGAGGAAACAGGCUACAGGGUGUGGAUGAACGACGGCAACAUAAAAGGUACCAUAGCCAAGGCGAAGGCAAAAGCGGUGAAAGAAGCUGCUGUUGUUCUCAUCGCCUUUUCGGAGGACUACACUGAAA